AAUAACCAAGCAUAUGAUUAUUAAAUAUUUAUGAUUUUAAUGAUCCCCUAGUAGAAAAACAAAACGUGAAAAAUCAUGAAGAAACAAGCUGAGGAAUCUUAUAUUUGAUGGGUAAUAAUGUCAUAUUAAGAAAUAUGAAAUGGAUUCGCCCAUAUUCCACAGAUUUUUUAUUUUUAUUUUUUGCAGAAAGUGCGUGUGUUUGUUGCUAAUAAAUUUCAGUAAGCACCCAGUUCAUCUGCUGUUUGGUAACCAAAGCUAUACCUACCCUUUUCAUACUUUCACAGCAUGAAAUGUUCCACAAAUGUUUUUUUUUUUUUACCAGAAACAACUGAAAAAUGCUUUUUGUUUCUGUCUAGUUCUUAAAAUAAUUUUGUGGUUCACCAGUGUGGUCACACUGACAUUUAACUUCCAGGUAGAGUUUAGAAAAUAUGCUGCAUACUGUAGCUCUGGUAUUACAGUAAAAGACAGAUGUAGAUACUUAGGUACUAUAGUGUGUGUGUGUGUGUGUGUGUGUGAUACAUUAUAUGCAACAACUAGUGAGGUUUAUGCUCAUUUGUCGGUAUCAUUGUGUCUUUAUAAAGUCUGUUGUAAGUGUUUUGAGUGUUACCUAGUCCCCUAUUUACUGGGACUACAGAAAAAUGUUGCUUUUUCUCACCCAUGGCUUUUAGUUUCUAUUGUUUUGACACUUUCUUUUCUUGUGUCUGGGUUCUUACUCUUUAAAAGAAAAAAAGGUUUAAUACAUAAUUAUUCAUUGAACUCGUCCAUCCAACUUUUCGUGUAUCUUAAAACCUUGUUGAAAGCUCGACGCAUUGUAUUGAUGUAGUCGAGAAGCCUCAGCAAGAGCAAGCAUGAAAAUAAUCAAGACUUUCUUUGAACUUUGUAAAUACACUAUACUUAACAGAAUUCCCUUUCAAGUUAUAUUCUAUUGUAUGUCUAUUUUUAGAUGAUAAAAAAACUUGUUGGGUUGAAACUGAAUGGAAAUUUCGCAAUAAAUUCUUAUCCACAAAAGGAUUAUACCGAUGCCUUUACUUCCAUAAACAGGUCUUUUAAUCAAAAUUAACGGGUUUGAAUAAAUGCAGAGGUUUGAGAUAAGGCAAAAGGAUAAGUUAAAAAAUAAGUUAAACCUAAUCUGCCCUUUAUUUUUUUUUAAGGUUCUCUUCUGUUGAAAUCAGGGAAAUCCAACAGUCACGUAAAAUCAUGAAUAGUGAGUAUUAGCGUGAAAUGCAAAAAAUUCCCAUGGAGCCCAUUAACGGGCAGGCUGUUAUUAUACAGAGUGGGUGGCAUAUGUAAUGUGUUUGUACAGACAUACCACAGUGCCAGGUAGUGCCAGGUACAUGUUGCAACAUUUGGUGCCCAUUUUAUUUUCCUUUUAACUGUGCUUUUUUUUAGCAUGGCAAUUCAUUUACUAGCGCAGUGUUUUCAGACUUGUUUCUGCAUGGUUUAUUUUAAUCGUGCUGGACAAGAAAUUUUAUCGCUUGGCAAUAAUCCAUAGGGCAGAAGUGCUCCGUGCGUUAUUUAUUGAGUAUGAAAAUCACUGGAGGUUUUUAUGUGUUUGACAAUGCUCUACACCACUAUCGAUAAAACAUAUCAAUAUCUUUUGACGUUCAUCCCUCCAGUACAGACCCAGUGAAUCAGUGGCCAAAAAUAUUGUGGACACCUCACAGUUGGUGAACAUCCCAUUCAAGAUGUACAGAUCCAUUCUUCUCUUCUGUGAAGGCUGUCCACUAGAUGUUGGAGUGGGUCUGUGGGGUUUAGCUACAAGAGCAUUAGUGAGAUCAGACACUGAUGUUGUAAGAGUGAGGAGGUCUGCGGUUCAGUCGGUGUUCCAGUUCAUCCUAAAGGUGUUCAGUGGGGUUGAGUCAGAGUCAGGGCUCAGUGCAGGACACUCCAGUUCUUCCACUACAACCAUAACACACCAUGUCUUCUUGUAGUCACUUUGUUUACAGGUACACUGUCAUGCUCAGGUUUCGAGUCUCUUAUUUCCAGUGAAGGGUUUAUAAUUCUACAUCAGACAAAGACAUUCUAUAUAAGCGUGUGCUUCUGACUUUGUGCCAACACCUUGGGGAAAAACCACAUUAGUGUGAUUUUCCGGUGCCUACAAAAUUUCGAUCACGUAGUGUGUAUCCGAAUUAACCCUCUGUCUCUUACAAAUGUAAAAGUCUUUAUUAAUAGUCCAUAAAGGUUUUGCAUCACACACGUUCAUUUCACGUUUUGACUUUCUACUUGGUUUUGAUUCUGAUUUCUUUUCGGUUUUUAUACAUCUACGGUAAAAGAAUUCUAAUUUCUGGCAUGUUGCUUUAAAGUCUACCUCCAUUUACGGCAUCGUUCUUAAAAAAUAUUUAUUUAUACACCACGCUAAAAUGAAACGCUGUUUUUAAACACGCUUGGAAGCAAGAAUCCAGCAUAUCUGGAUUCUUGCAAAGCUAUAAAAAAAAAAAUUCAGUUAUGGCGUUCUAGUUUCGUGAAUAGGAAAAGCUGAGGUACAUUUCUUCUUCAAAAGUAAUGAUAAAUAUUUUCCUGACAUCUGUCUUUUGAAAACAUUGAAGUUGACUCUCAGGCUCUGCAGAAAGUGCUGUGAACUGUCCUUUGUAAAUAGUCAUUCUGAUCUUUGGAACAAGGAAGCGUUUUAAGUGUAAUGUGAUGAGGAAACAGUCCUUAUGCUUAUUUUUUGUGUUGGUUUCUUUUGCAUUUGAUAAAUGUCACAGAUCUUGUAAGAAUGUUAAAAAUGUACCUCAUUUUUAGGUAGGUGGUUUAUGCAAGGUUUAUCCAAAUUGGUAUAUUUGAUAACAGUAAUUGGAGGUGUUGUACUACCAAACAUUACGGUCAGUAUGUUUUACACUGUACCAGAUAAUUGCAAUAAGAAUUCUAUAACAUUCUGUGCAAUAAGGUGUCCUUCAUAAACUUUUGCUUAAUGAAAAAUUACUAUUCUAACACACAUGAUUUCCAGUCGAGGAGCUACGGAUCUGUAUUGCUUUGCUGUAUGAAUGCAAUCAUUUUCAUAGGUAUAGGUUUAGGUGUAUAGUGGUAGGUUUAUCAUAGCUAUAGGAUCAUUGUGUAAUCUGACAUGAACGCACAGUCACCGAAAUCACACAACUUUGCCAGAAUUUUAUUGAAAUCAACUUGUACAGUAGGACAAGUAAUACCUGUAAGAGCGUAUAACUGGCUAAACGGCAGCUCUAGAGAUCUCUCAGCUGUUCUUUCUCUCUCACCGAGUUUCAAUUCAUUUCAUUUUUAUUUGCAUAGCACUUUAUACAGCGUUUCUGUCUUGCCAGGCCUGUAACAGCGAAGUCCAGUUUUAUGUCAUUAACAGCUAAAAAAAUCACUUCAGUUGUCGCAAACAAAGUUAAAUAUCAGAGAUAUGCAGAAUAAGGUAGAAUGUUCUACACUGAAGGCCAGAGAGAAUAUAAAAUCUGUGCAGAGCAAAAGCAUUUUUAGCAACAACAAAAGGUUGAAGACAGUUACGAAGGACCAUGUUGGUCAGAAUAUUAAUAAUUAUAUUCAGAAAGUCUGAUGCAAACUUUUGAACAGAUUUCAUUGUUUUUCUUCCCUGCUACUUUUAUACAUCAUCCUGUGAUACAAAAUCAUACAUAAUUUAUUCUUGUUUUAAGUCACAUUUUGUCCUAAAAUAAAAACAAAACUGCGUCUUGCAGGUCGAAAAGCUCUUCUUCUUUCACAAUGCCUCAGUUUCUCUCUCUCUCUCGCUCUCUCUCUCUCUCUCGCUCGCUCUCUCAACUCUUACACACUAAGCACAAUCUUAACUGAACACUGAGGUACAAAGUCCAGAAUCUUUCGCUGACACGUCUUUUAUCAGUCACACACAUCAACACACAUCCGAAAUGGGUUGAAAGUUUAAUCCGAAUUGAAGCUUAACAGGAAGUGAAAUAAAUUAUUAAAUAAAUGGUAUUCAAGAAACCAUCUUCUGGUAAAUUCUUUUGUAAAUAUUGUGUUAAAGGAUAAUUUCCCUGAGAUUAACAGACAGGUUUGUUAUUUUAUUUUCAUUUCUGUGCUCCUGCUUGAGUGGGUGUAUUUGUCAGGGUAGGUGUGUGUUUGGGGAAUACGACUGAUUUGGAUCCCAUCCAAUGAGUAAAAACCGGAAUACCAAAGGAGCAGUGAUGUAACACAUUACAUUUUAAGAAGGGUUUCGCCUUGGCAUGAUGCAACGUAUGACAAUUCGGAAUUCCCCCCUGCAAGAUCUGCCUACCAGUAACAGCUGAAAACUCUCAGUCUCCCUCCCUUCUUCUCCUUCACUGGCAGCGUUAUUUGAGAGUGAUAAUGAAACUAAUGCAGUGUAAAAUAAUGUUCCCUGGUCAUAGGUAGCAAUCAACCUUGACCACUUCUUUAUUUCCCUGAUAGUUUUUGAUCUACUGAGCAUUUAGCAUUUAAGUCUUUUUCAUUGUUUAGCUUUGACCUAGGAAUACUUUUUUUUCUCUCGGUGCGGCACACAGCAUUAGACUCUGUAAAUAAAUAUGAAAAUGAUAUAAUUUGCAUAUUUUUUGUUUUGCACAUCACACAUUUGUUACACUAAAUUGAAUAUAUUUACCGAAUUAAAGGGAAGCUCUGUUAUCCGUACCCCACUGUUCUCAUGCAUUCAUCACAUAUACUUUAUAAAUGUUGUAACAGACAGGUAAAAUUGGUGCAAUUAUAUAUAUUAGAGGCGAACAGAAAAUAUUGUAGGCUCAGAAACGCUCUUUCAUUUUCAUUUGAUCACUUUCACCGAUUGUCACUUAAUGUCACAGAAUCUGAAAAUAUUCUGGUUUUGAUGAUGCAUGGAAAUAAUGAAGCAGAGAAAAAAAUAAUUGCACUGCAUGAUGAUAAAUGACGCACAAGAUGCAUCAAAACCGUGAAGAAGUAUCUGAGAACCACCAAAAAACCCACAAGAUUAAAAAAAAAAAAAAAAUUGUUCUGCUACAAUUUCUACUACAAAUUCAUUUGUAAAAAAUUAAAUAUCUUCACUGCCUUUUAAUGAAGUUUUUGUUGCUCAGGAUAAUUUAUAUGCGGUUUAUUCUUUUGUGGGCCUUCUUCUUGAUAAAUAUGUGGUGAAUAUUAUUACUGUCCUGCAUUAUGUUUCACAAGCAUCAGAAACUGUGUGUUCCUGCAAUUCCUUUUGGUCAGAGCUGCAAUUUCGAAAAUUGUUCAUUUAUAUCUACAGUAUUGUAAACUGUUACACAUGAGGAAUUCCUCUGGCUGAAUGAUUGUUUAUGUGCUGGAGACGGUUUACGCAGCACACAACUCAAAGUGUGUAGGAAAUGGAAUGUGUGGCAAUCUUGGCUCAGUGACAGUGUUGGGGGUGUGUCAAUAGCAGUCUAUGAAUCCAGUGGUAAGUUUCACCACUUGUAAAGCACAGUGUUUGUGAAAGAAUGGAGGUGUGAAUGAGUGGGCAGCAUUUUCACAUAUAAGAUGCUUCUAACAGGAUGGGAGGUGCUCAUUCAUUCCAACAACAUGGAAACCAGUGUCUUCAUCCACGAUUGCCAGAACUUAGCUGAGGCUUCCAAAGGCACGAAGGAGUCCAGACACUUCCAGCGCAGUUCCAGGUGUCUCCUGCUGAUUCUAUUUACUCUGCUGGGGCUCCUGGUUGUAGGAUUGGUUGUACUUUUUACAGUUUGGGUGGCACAGAAUGUAGUCAAAUCAGAUUUCACUUGUCCACAGGUCAAUUUUGGACCCGGCUGGACAUUUAACAUUUCAGGGCCUGGGGAUUCACACAUCUUCACUGCUCUAAACAAUGGGACAUAUUUUAUCUACGGAAAAUUUCAGAUAAAUAAACAAAAGACUGAAGACUGUGAAGAUAUCAUCAAGUUGGCCUGGAGUGGACCAGCUAAGUCAGAUAAAAUGUCUGAGCUCACUAAAACCAAGUUUAAGCUAAAUAAUGACAUUUAUAUGGCUGAAAUUAAGGAAGAGAAUGUGAAGCUCAGUGGAAAAAGUAAAGUGCACUUGAUUAUCAAUUGUAACCAGAACAUUAGGGCGAAUUUUAGAGUUGGGUACAGAUCAGAAUGAUGAUAAUCACUGUGAUGAUUCAGUCAGUUAUCAAAACAUUAAUUAUUCUUAUUCAUCCUCUUAUGCAUAACAUUUAAGACUGCACAGCUUUGUUUGAGUAAUGAGGUGGAUUCUGUAACACUUAUAUAAAUUAAUUACUGAUUAAUCAUUAUUUUGUUCUGUCAUAAAUUCUAUGUAUUUCUAUAUA